rnacentral:rRNA from 1 species
GGGCGGCCUAACAUGCAGUCGAGCGGAACGAUCCUAGCUUGCUAGGAGGCGUCGAGCGGCGGACGGGUGAGUAAUGCAUAGGAAUCUGCCCGGUAGUGGGGGAUAACUUGAGGAAACUCAAGCUAAUACCGCAUACGCCCCAAGGGGGAAAGCAGGGGAUCUUCGGACCUUGCGCUAUCGGAUGAGCUUAUGUCGGAUUAGCUAGUUGGUGAGGUAAUGGCUCACCAAGGCCGCGAUCCGUAGCUGGUCUGAGAGGAUGAUCAGCCACAUCGGGACUGAGACACGGCCCGAACUCCUACGGGAGGCAGCAGUGGGGAAUAUUGGACAAUGGGCGAAAGCCUGAUCCAGCCAUGCCGCGUGUGUGAAGAAGGCCCUCGGGUUGUAAAGCACUUUCAGCGAGGAAGAAGGCUUGUGGGCUAAUACCCCGCAAGAAGGACAUCACUCGCAGAAGAAGCACCGGCUAACUCCGUGCCAGCAGCCGCGGUAAUACGGAGGGUGCAAGCGUUAAUCGGAAUUACUGGGCGUAAAGCGCGCGUAGGCGGCUUGAUAAGCCGGUUGUGAAAGCCCCGGGCUCAACCUGGGAACGGCAUCCGGAACUGUCAGGCUAGAGUGCAGGAGAGGAAGGUAGAAUUCCCGGUGUAGCGGUGAAAUGCGUAGAGAUCGGGAGGAAUACCAGUGGCGAAAGCGGCCUUCUGGACUGACACUGACGCUGAGGUGCGAAAGCGUGGGUAGCAAACAGGAUUAGAUACCCUGGUAGUCCACGCCGUAAACGAUGUCGACUAGCCGUUGGGGUCCUCGAGACCUUUGUGGCGCAGUUUAACGCGAUAAGUCGACCGCCUGGGGGAGUACGGGCGCAAGGUUAAAACUCAAAUGAAUUGACGGGGGCCCGCACAAGCGGUGGAGCAUGGUGGUUUAAUUUCGAAUGCAACGCGAAGAACCGUUACUACUUCUUUGACAUCGGAGCGAACUUUCCAGAAGAUGGAUUGCUGCUUCGGGACGCCUCAGACAGUGCCUGCCAUGGUCGUCGUUCAGCUCGGUUGUGACGAUGGUAGUCGUACGAGGCAACCUGUCCUAUUUG